rnacentral:tRNA from 1 species
GUCGUUGUAGUAUAGUGGUGAGUAUCCCCGCCUGUCACGCGGGAGACCCGGGUUCGAUCCCCGGCAACGCG